rnacentral:lncRNA from 10 species
ACAGGAUCCCAAGGACCUGCACAAUUGCCAGCAUAUUCACACACUGCCCCUCUAAGCCAGGGAAUUGAGGGCCGCAGACGUGAAAGGCUGCGGUGAACUUUUCCAUUUUCAGCAUAAUUGCUUCAAACUGUGGCUGAGCAGGCAGGCCCCAAGCACCACCUGCCAUCAAACACUCAGAGGGGUGAAGAGUCCCAGCAUUUCCCACCUCCAGGCUGGCAAAAGGCUUCAGCUGGCCUCACCAGAAGUCCUGCCCCUCACACGGAGGCCCCGCCUCCUUACUCUCAUUGAGCCUGCUCUGCUGCUGGUCCAGAGGAAAAGCGCAGAAACUCGCACACUUGCUGCAGACUCUUCCUGAAGCAUCUCCACCUGGCUGUGCCCUGUAAACUCAUGGAGUCUCACUUCGUUG